rnacentral:tRNA from 2 species
GGUAGCGUGGCCGAGCGGUCUAAGGCGCUGGAUUUAGGCUCCAGUCUCUUCGGGGGCGUGGGUUCGAAUCCCAUCGCUGCCA